AUGGCUUCAUUCGGUCGCUUCAUUCAAAAUGUUACACGAGGAGCAAGACUUGCACGUUCUGGUGUGCCCAUCACUACAGGCAUGUGCUGUGGCCAUCGAGCUUACUCUCUUCUGUCAGAAUCUCAAUUCUCAGCUCACCGGGGCAGAAGAUUCUCUAAAGUUAUCUCUCUGCCAAUAACUAUUGCUCGCCAUCUCCAUGGUAGUACAAACACUAAGUUGGAAACCCCUGUCAGUUAUGUGAGUUCAAAAUCCUCGAAGAUAGAAAUUAAUGUUAAAGUGGAUGGGGGACUGCUGCUGGAGGAUCCAGAGGGUUAUAUCAAUUUAUGGAAGUUGUUUGAUCAAUACAAAGUUCUGUGUUUUGAACCUACAGACUCAAGCAAUACCAAGCUAUGCUUUACUUCCUUUGCAGUUGACAUACUAAAGGAACUGUACAUGAUAGUCCUAAAGGAAGGGCAAGGUGCCGAUUUCCUGUUUAAAUUUGAGGCAUCACAGAUCCUUGUUAAGUGGGAUUCUGGCAUUGUUGAACAUAUUGCUAUACCUGCAUCACAAUUCCAAAGUGGCUUGGUGUAUUCAAUCUGUGGCACGGUGAUUGGUCUCAACUGCAAUGAACUACUUCAUUUGAUGUUGCUUGCGCAAAACAAAAGAUCACGACGGUGCUUCGGAGAUGGAGAUCACAAGCACAAGAUGAUGAUGGCCAUAUCAUAUCACUUAUAUUGGUUGCAUGUGAUGUUUAUCCUUUAUGCAUCUUAUCUUGCUUUAAUUGACGUUAGCAUUUUAAGAUGA
rnacentral:rRNA from 1 species